GGGGCCGUAGCUCAGUUGGGAGAGCGCUUGAAUGGCAUUCAAGAGGUCGUGAGUUCAAUUCUCAUCGGCUCCA
rnacentral:tRNA from 1 species